UACGGAGGGUGCAAACGUUGCUCGGAAUUAUUGGGCGUAAAGCGUACGUAGGCGGUCCAGCAAGUCGGGUGUGAAAGCCCUUGGCUUAACCAAGGAAGUGCAUUCGAAACUACUGGACUUGAAUACUGGAGAGGAUCGCGGAAUUCCCGGUGUAGAGGUGAAAUGCGUAGAUAUUCGCAAGAACACCAGUGGCGAAGGCGGCUCACUGGCCCGGUACUGACGCUGAGGUGCGAAAGCGUGGGGAGCAAACAGG
rnacentral:rRNA from 1 species